rnacentral:rRNA from 1 species
GACGAACGCUGGCGGCGUGCCUAAUACAUGCAAGUAGAACGCUGAAGGAGGAGCUUGCUUCUCUGAAUGAGUUGCGAACGGGUGAGUAACGCGUAGGUAACCUGCCUGGUAGCGGGGGAUAACUAUUGGAAACGAUAGCUAAUACCGCAUAAUAGUAGAUGUUGCAUGACAUUUGCUUAAAAGGUGCAAUUGCAUCACUACCAGAUGGACCUGCGUUGUAUUAGCUAGUUGGUGGGGUAACGGCUCACCAAGGCGACGAUACAUAGCCGACCUGAGAGGGUGAUCGGCCACACUGGGACUGAGACACGGCCCAGACUCCUACGGGAGGCAGCAGUAGGGAAUCUUCGGCAAUGGACGGAAGUCUGACCGAGCAACGCCGCGUGAGUGAAGAAGGUUUUCGGAUCGUAAAGCUCUGUUGUAAGAGAAGAACGAGUGUGAGAGUGGAAAGUUCACACUGUGACGGUAUCUUACCAGAAAGGGACGGCUAACUACGUG